GCGAGCGUUGUCCGGAAUUAUUGGGCGUAAAGAGCUCGUAGGCGGUGUGUCACGUCGGCCGUGAAAACCUGCAGCUUAACUGUGGGCGUGCGGUCGAUACGGGCAUCACUGGAGUUCGGCAGGGGAGACUGGAAUUCCUGGUGUAGCGGUGAAAUGCGCAGAUAUCAGGAGGAACACCAGUAGCGAAGGCGGCUCGCUGGGUGGAUAUUGACGCUGAGGCGCGAAAGCGUGGGGAGCAAACAGG
rnacentral:rRNA from 1 species